AUGGCGGCGAGGGCACUCGGGCUCGCUGGCCGAGCGCUCCUGCGACCGGUCGCCUCACCAGGCACCCAACGGCUGCUGUCGACUGACAAGAACUCACUGCAGGGCCUUACGAACGGCGAUCCGGUGAGCCGCCUCAUGCAAACACGGAAGCAGAAUGACAGCAUUUACAGUCGCUUUGCUGAAAAUGAUUUCACAGGCGGCGGUAGCAGGUCUGGCCGAUUAAACAUGGAAAUAACGUGGACAGCGGCUCCGCGAGUAAAGAUGGAUGUUCUACACAUCACACCCAAGGAGAAAAAGACCUUUGUGACCGUGACGGACGUCAAGGAGAACAGGAAGGCCGGGGCUUCUGCUGGCUGCUUGGAGGAUCGUAAAGGGCGGUUUCGUCUUGCUCGGUGCGCAGGUGAAGCAACAGGGAAACACAUGGGGCGAUCCGCCAGCACGAUUGGCCUCAAGUCGAUCGUCGUGAAAGUGAAAGGAUGUUCCUUUUUCAGGAAGAAGAAGAAAGUGCUCUUGAGCUUUGCAGCCGGUUCCCGAGGUGAAAGAGUGAGGAGCCUUUCUCCUAAAUAA
rnacentral:rRNA from 1 species